GCUGCCCCGACACUCGCUCCCAAGCGUGAGCGAAGAGGAUUCUGGUCUUUGUAGUUCCCUUACGAACAGUGGGAAAAGAGAUCGCUAAGUACAAUGCCAUUUCCCAGGGAGCGCCGCGCAACAGCGCAGACACAGGAUAACCUUUGAACCAGACAGCUCUUGAUUGGCCCGCCAAAUUGCCAUGGAAGCGGCACUACUUACCUGGAACCCAAGGAGUUUCUGCCUGAGAAUGUCAAAGCGCUUGGCUCCGCAAUGAUUCCAAAAGGAGGAAUUAGUUCAAGAAAGAGGAACAAGCACAGUUGCUAAGAAUAACGACUCUGGAGGCCUCUGCCCCGACGUUACAGCUCUGCAGAGUACAAGGGAUCACCUCCUACAGAAGGAAACAAGACGCAAGGAAAGUGACUGCGAGCGGACCUUGAAGCCACUGAGCCACCGGGAGACGGGUCAACAGGAGUGGGGGCCACGGGGCCGUGUCCACACCUGGCCGAAGGAGCCUUUGCCGAUGAGCGAGUCGAUCU